GAACUUAAUGUUCCGACAUUUUGGUUUUUCUGGUGACCUCUUGAUUUUUCUGGUGACCACCCCCUUCCUGAAGCUUUAAGGAACCACCUUAAAGCAAUCAUUAGCAUAAAAUCAAAUGUCAUUCAGUAGGCCACCAUAGGAAGAACAAAAGACAUGCCUAUCAUUCAGGAAAUUUCUAGAGUUUUAGUAGCUCUACACCAGGAAGCAGCAACGAAGACCGAAUACAUUUAUAUUGCUACAGUUCCACAUAAGUUUGGGCCUUAAUUUUAAGCCUUACCUGACACAUGCCUCCAAAAACAGCUGGUAUAUAAUUCCUUCUCCUUGUGACCAAAAGAAUGUGGUAAAGUGAUGCCACGUGGUUUCCAAGGAGAUGGUCAUAAUACUUCUUAGAAUGCCGCUUUCUUUGGAGUGCCUCAUAACCCAUCUGUGAAGCAGGGAGAAGUCCAAGUUUCUUCAUGAAGAGGAUCAGAUCAAGGUAGCCAAUUGAGAGUUUCUGGAUUUUUCUCCUUGCAAGAACUAUCUACUCGAAUAAAGGAAAAAGGGGAGGGAAUGGGAGAAAAAAAAAAUCCUUAAAGCCUACUAUCUAGGAUACGACAUGACCUUUGCUUCUCAAGUCUCCUUAUUCCCAUCUUGGCUGGGACUGUUGUGGGAAAUCAGGGAACCAGAGAGAAUGAUGAGGUUACAGGAAGAUUUAUUUAAGGUGUACACCUGCUCAGUGGAUUCACAUCCAGAAUGUCUGAGCAAUGGACAAAGAGAGCAAGUGUCUUUUAUGCAUCCAGAGGCGUGAAAUCAUGAAGCAGGAAGCAGGUUUUACUGAAGCAAGAACACAAGCAGUUAAUCAAAACUGUGACCGGCUUACUUAUGACUCUUGGUAUGCGGGCCUGAUGCUCAUCUUGGACUUGGGCUGAUUAGGACAGAAUCUCAGAGCUGACACAAAAGACACUCCUGAGGACUGAGUCUGGAAAAUGUGAGAAGGAAGUUAAUUUUGGCAAAUUUCUGAGAAAUGGAAAGAAGUAUCCACAAGAAAUUUCAUUUGUAAGAGGGACUUAAUACCAGAAAAGAUGAAAAGAUUUUAAUCAUCCCAGGAGGGCUAUAUGGUCCUUUAUUGAGAUGGCCUUAUCCAAACCAGAACCCAAGUAAAGUAAAAAAAUCUCUACCAAAAGGAUGAGGAUUGAUCUGAGUAAAGACUCACCAGGGCAGAAAAGGUAAGCUGUGAAGGCGGAGGGCUCAAAGGGCUCUAGUGAGUCCUACAUACCAGUUCUGAGAAUUGCUAAUUCCUUCAGAUAGUGAACUUCUUAAAAUCGUACUUCUGACAUCAUACAUGUCAACCUGAAUAACAAACAGAGGCACUCACUAAUAGAAAAUAAUGUUUACUUGGAAAUACGGCAUUAAAAAUGGACCACACAUGCCAUAGUAAUCUAUGUAUAUUCAGGGAGGCAGAAAAGGCAAAGGUUUUUAGAGGAGAAAAGUGGGAAUGAUGUAGUUGUUUUGAAAUAAUCAUUCUUGGCUACAAGAGUAAUUAAUAACAAGGAUGGUGCUAGUCUGAAGCUGGACAGGCCAUUUCUGGGCAGAUGUUCUUACACAAGUAUUUUUUGAAUAAGGUGAUGGCCUUUAUGCAAGAUUCUGGUCUUUGUAGAGUAUGUUUUAUUAUCAGAUAUUCAAGGAUUUAAACUCUUUCCUCAUGGCCUUGCCUGGCUCUAUUUUUUAGCGCUUUCUUAGGAUUAGUGACUCGAUUUUGAUUCUGACCAUUUUUCACAACAUGUAUACUACCAAACCCAAUGUUUUAUGAAACAUUACAAUAUAUGUAAUAUCGCAUCGUUUUCUAUUCUUUUUCAUUUUUCAAAAAUACUGGUGAUAAUCACUGAAUAGAUCUUAUGACAAUUUGAAUGAGUUGUAACCCACAAUUUAAAAUCUUAAAACAUUGAAAAACUGCUUUUAAAAUUGAAGGCAUUGAAAGAACCUAAGAGUAGCAAAUAGUCUGAUAAUUCAGUUUGAGAGCAGUUACGUUUGAAAUUAAGACUUUAAAGGUGGUACAGCUAUGGGUCAUAAGAAGGCCUAGCAUACAUUUAUUGAAAUAGUAGCUGAAUAGUCUGAUAAUGCAGUUUACUCUGUGCAUACUCAUAGAAGUUACUCUCAGAUCAGUAUAAUAGAUGAACUGAAUGUUAAGAUUCAUUUAUUAAUUUAUUCAAGGAGUAUUUCUUGAGAGCAUGCCUUAUCCCUGACACUGUUCUUGAUUGCUGUACAUUAAUGUACAUAAUGUACAACAAUCUACAACAGAGUCAGAAAUGUACAUUAAAUUAUAUAUAAAUAAAUCUUUGUUAUGGAACUUAUUUGUCAUAAACAGAUAAUAACAGAUAAGCCUGUAAUAUAAUGAAAAGUCAUAUAAAUAAUAUGAAUAAAAAUCCAGCCUUAUGAGACAAUGGUUAAUGACUAAUUUGGUUUGUCUGUGUCCCCCCCUAAAUCUCCUCUUGAAUUGUAGCUCCUAUAAUCCCCAUGUGUCAUGUGAGGGACUCAGUGGGAGGUAAUUGAAUCAUUGGGGUGGGCCUUUCCUGUGCUGUUCUUGUGACAGUGAAUAAGUCUCAUGAGAUCUGAUGGUUUUAUGAAGAGGAGCUUCCCUGCACAUGCCCUCUUGCCUGCCACCAUGUAAGACAUGACUUUGCUCCUCAAUCACUGUCUGGCAUGAUUGUGAGGCCUCCCCAGCCAUGUGGAACUGUGAGUCAAUUAAACCUCUUUUUUUUAUAAAUUACCCAGUCUUGGGUAUGUCUUUAUUAGCAGCAUGAGAAUAGAUUAAUACAAGGACUAACAGGGACAUUUGAUUUUAGAUAGGGUACUCACAGAAGAGUCACAGAUGAGGAAAAGAGAUAUAUGAAGAUCAGUCUACUAAAGAAUGUUGAGGCAAGAGGAACAACAAUGCAAAACCUUUGAGGCAAUAAUGAGUGUAAUGUAUUUUAAUACCAAGAAGGCCAAAAGUCUAAACUGCUUAGAAAGGACACUGGAGGACAUACAUGGAGCCUGAUGAUACAGCACUUUUUAAACAGUAUGGAAAGCCAUUGCAGGAUUUUGAGGAGAAGCAUGGCAUGAACUGUUAUAAAUUUUACAAAAUUCACUUUGAGGAUGAUUGACUGAAGUGGGCAAACAGGAAAGCAGGGAGAGCACUACAGAGGCCUUCAUACCAGUAUUAGUAAUAGAUAAAAGUGGCUUUUAUUAUGGGGGAAAAUGCUUCAGGAUAUAUUUUGAAGAUAAAUCUGGGAGGGGUAUCAGAUUGGCUGGAAUAAGGGUAUAAUAAGGCAAUGAGAACAGUUAAAAAUGGCAAUAAAUUUCUUGGGACAGGUAGUUGUGUACAUGGUGAUACUCAUCACUGAAAUAAGAAAGACAGAGGGAGAAAAAGAAUUGUAAUGAACAAUGAAGAGUUCUGCCUUGGAAAUGCAAUAGUUGAGAGGUAUACUACAAUAGUGAGGGGCUGGUGAGAGGAAAGUUGUAUGUAUAAGCUUGAAACUUGGGAGAUGUAUACAGCUAGAACUAUAUGUUCAGCAUAUAGUUAGGUAUAUAGCUAGAACUAUAUGUUCAGCAUAUAUAAAUAGGUAGAUGAUAUUUAUUUAUUUAAUUUUUUAUUGCAUUUUAGGUUUUGGGGUACAUGUGCAGAGCAUGCAAGACAGUUACAUAGGUACACACAUAGCAGUGUGUUUUGCUUCCUUUCUCCCCUUCACCCACAUUUGGCAUUUCUCCCCAGGCUAUCCCUCCCCAGCUCCUUCCCGCCCGCUAGCCCUCCCCUUUACCCCCAAUAGACCCCAGUGUUUAGUACUCCCCUCCGUGUGUCCAUGUGUUCUCAUUUUUCAUCACCCGCCUAUGAGUGAGAAUAUGCGGUAUUUCAUUUUCUGUUCUUGUGUCAGUUUGCUGAGAAUGAUGUUCUCCAGAUUCAUCCAUUUCCCUACAAAUGACACAAACUCAUCAUUUCUGAUUGCUGCAUAAUAUUCCAUGGUGUAUAUGUGCCACAUUUUCCCAAUCCAGUCUAUCAUCAAUGGGCAUUUGGGUUGAUUCCAGGUCUUUACUAUUGUAAACAGUGCUGCAAUGAACAUUAUAUUUAAAAGAUACAAUUAGAAAAGUUCAUCUUAGGGACUAGUGAAGAUAAAGGAGAGAUGAAUUGCAAGACUGGAACCUGGAAUAUCCAACAUUUAUUAAUAAGGAAAAUGAAGUGAGGCUAGUUAAGGAUACUGAGAAGGCGGGGUGUGUAUGAUGCAGAAAAAAAAAGACCAGAAUUCUAUACUCCAGAAGUCUAGUGAAGAAAAUGUUUCAAGAAGGACAUUUGUUUUGUAAAAUGCUAUUGAGAGGUCAACAAGGACUAAGAUUUGGCAUUUGAGUUUGGCAAGAUGGUGGUCUCUUGUGACAAGGGUCAUUUCAGUGAAGUUGUAGGGAGUAAAGCCUGAAGAGAGUGCGUUCAAGAGAAAAGGUUAGAUGAAAAGAAAAUUAGUGCAGGCUACACAUCUGAGAAGAUUUGCUAUAAAAUGGAACAGGAAAUGAUCAGAUAUUUGCAGAUGCUUCAUGACACAAUGGGUGUAGGUAUUUUGUUUUGUUUUAUUUUUUGAUGGAACAUCUUACAGUACAUUUUCUUUCUGAUGGACAUAAUUAGUAGAAAAAGAUAAACUGAUGACAAACAAGAAUACUUAAUUUCAGAACCAUGUUCUUACACAGAUGACAAUGAAAGAAUUAUUCUUAGGAAUGUAGGGUUCAUUCAUUGUAACAGAAAUGAAGAGAAAUGCUUUGGUAUAGAUGCAGAAUUAUUGAUAGAUUUGGUGGUGGGCAAAUUAGAUAAGUUCACUUAUAAUUGCUUCUAUUUUCCCAGCAAAAUAAGACAUAAGACUAUCAAUCAACAAGGAGUAGAAAAUGAGAGGGUGAAUUGGCUAGCAGAUGAGUUCUUAUCUGUAGCAUGUGGUCAGAAAUUCAAAAACUAAAAAGCAUGGCUAUGUGUUUUCUCCCAUUAUGUUUAGUAAUAGGAAAAGCAUAGGUGAAGAGUUAGAUUUUGACAGAAGAACACAAUCAAAGUGAGGAAGGAGAAGGAAGAUGAAAGUGGUAAAGUAUGGGAGUUAAAAGUGUAUGUAAGUGGGUGGUUUUCAUCAUGGAAGUAAACUGGAUAAUGAUAGAGUGGAAGACCUGAUGGAGUUCAGGGCUAAUAAAAUAAGUAGUAAGAUCAAUGAAUUGGACUAAAGAUGAGAGUGAUUAAUUGCCAGAGUGUGGGGGGCAGAGUAAGUUAGUUGGAAUCUUCAUCAUACAUUUUGAUGCUUGAAAUUGAGAUUUUAAAUGUGGUUCAACUACAGAUCAUAAUAAAGUCUGGUGUACAUUUAUUGCAACAGUGGCUAAAGAAGUGUAAAGAAAAAUAGAGUUUGAGUUGAGACAAUCAAGAACUGAGAUACUAAAUUGUCGAGUAAAUCACAUCUGUAAAUGUUCAAGUCAUCAAGGAUACAGUGACUCAGUAUGAAAACCUUCAAAGGUUAAAGAACGCUUGAAAGGUCUGUAUAUAAAAGGAUAACUAGAUGGUAUAAUCUGAUGGAAUGUAUUUCAGAAGAGCUGCAUUUUUCCACAGAAGGAGAAGAAGCUUUCUCAAUGUACAAAUAUGAUUUAAGGAUACCUACUCCAGAUCUAGUCCUUAUGGUAAAUAGGGUUUGGUAUCAUCAUCUUUGUCAUCCUCAUUAUUCUAUUUAUUAUUAUUUUAAUCAUCUUCAAUAUUAUUACCAGUAUUAGUGUUAGCAGUAGUAUUGGUACUGGUGAUAAUACACAUGCACACACACACAUCUCAGGUUUAUCAUCUGUUAAAUAAGUUUCUUCAAAGUCUCUUUUAAGUCAAAAUAUACUAUGUCUUCAUGAAUCAUAAUUUUCCCUGAAGAAGAAGGACAUAUACUUAGGAAAAAACUGGACAUCCAGAUGAGUUCAUGGAUAUCCAAGAAAAAAAGAGCUUCCUCCUUUACUAUUCCAUUCUCUCUUAUGUCUCUACCUAGAGCAGUGUCUGAAGGUAGCAGAAACUCAGUAGUACUUUUGGAAGAAUGGACAAAAUACAGAAAGUCAGGAAGGAAGGAGGAAAAGUUGCAGGUUAGGGACUCAAGCCUUCUGUCAUGGUCUUUUUUGCCCUGGCUCUAGUAUACAUAUCCUGGUCGCACUGAAGAAGGAUUGGGUUGAGAUCAGGGCAAGGCACUUUCAGAUCAGGCAACCAGGCAGAGUCUUCGUAUAGAGAAGGAAAUUAAAUUCUCUUGUUCUUAGGAAGCCCAAAGUUCCAUAGCAGCUGUUUAUAUUUUUCUAGUUCCCUAGGGAAGCAGGCAGUAGAAGAAAACUGUGCUUCUGACUUAGAGUGAUAGGCAUCUUUUUAUUUAGCCAUGACUACUCUCAAAGUUUCACCUGCUUCAGAGAAAGUCAUCUCAGGCAUAUAUUUUCAGAAAUCUUUGUCUUUCUGGGGUAAGUUGUUGCAUUCUAAGGGGUGCUCUUGCACCAUCCCACUCAGGUUUGCACAGCAACACAUUCUCAAGCAGUUUCUGUCUGAGAGUAUCCCACAGGCACAGCUUCAUCAUAAUGGCACUUAGCAUCUCGAUAGUACUUAUUUUGGAGGCACUCUGCAAACAUUAGCUAAUUAGUCCUUAUAAAGGCCUUGUGGUAGAACCAUGUCUAUUCAUUUUCUAGCAGUGGGCAAGUGAAAUGAAAAGGCAGUAUCAAUAAAUCUGUUUACAAGGCCACAGAGGGAGGAGAGUGGCAUUUGGGACUUGUGGGAAUAUGGUCCCUAAGGUGAUGCUAAAGAUAACUACAAAUCAACUGUGUCGCCAGUUGGAGAUGAUUGCUACUUAUUCCUUUAAUCCUUUGAUGAAAAUGAUUACUUUUAAAGAAACAGCAUAUGAGUUACUAUUAAUAAGAAAAAGAACUGAUUUGAUAGUAACAGGUGAAUAGCACAGGUAUAGAUAUUUAGGGGUGGGACUUAUGAAUUUGUGCUAAUCAUUUGUCAAAUUUAAAUUGUCUCUCUUUCACUGAACACCAAAAAUAAAAUAACUCCUGGCCAUGCUAUUUUGUAAUAUUCUACUUAGACCACACUUUUACAGACUUAUAUUUUCCAUUGUUUUAACCAUGCCUACAUCUAAAAGUGUGUAUUGAGUACUCAAUAUUUACUAGACGUUCUGUAAGGGAGUGGUUUUCAUCAUGAAAGUAAACUGGGUCACGAUAGAGUGGAAGACCUGAUGGAGUUCGGGGCAAAUAAAAUAAUUCCAUUUAAAGAAACAGCAUAUGAGUUAGUAUUAAUAAGAAAAAGAACUGAUGGUAGAGUGGUUUGAAAGAUAGGAAAGGUCAUCAUAUUUAAGGUGUUUUCUGUCUAAUGAAGAAGACAGGGAAAUAAAUGCACAAUCACCAUGAGACUUAUGAUUCAGAGGAGGACACCAUAGACAUAGUUCAGGGUAGGUCAGAGGCAAGGAAAAACUCCUAGAUGAAGAAAUAUUUAAGGGAGAUCUAAUAUAUGCAUAGAAAUUAGGCAGAUAAAGAGGUGAAAGGGUGAGUUUGGCUUAUAUUUCAUCAUAGUAAUAAAAUCUCUGGACAUGUAUAUUGUUUGAUAAUGUAUACCACAUUUUCAAAUUUGUUGCUGAAUAAGAGAUGCCUAAACCUACUCAGAGAAAACCAGACCUGGAAUUACUGUCAUCAUGUAAGACCUGAGGAAAGAGAAACCCCAAAAGUUAAAAGUCGACAAGACUUGAUAGCUGAAAAGUGCCAUAGCCAGAGCUCAGGCUCAGGAAUAAAAUCCUGUUCACCAUGAUAAUUUAAAAAAAUUCGGAUGAAGAAAUUAGCUUUCUGAUUUUUAGCCCUGAUUUAAUCAUAAAAUUAUUUCUCUAGAUUUGUCUAGAGGUACAUUUCAUGGCCCGUUCCUCCCAAUUGUCCAACCUCAUUUGCUACUUAAAAUAGGCCCUCUUUUUCCUUCUGAAAGACAUUGUACUCUCAAUAAAAAUGGGAAUUUUUUCUUCAUAAACAAGUAACACUCAAACACACUGGAAAUAAAAUCCUCUAAGAAAAUAUAUUAGAUCUCUUCAUCAAUACAGCCAGGUAACCUGUUUUCUCAGCUUUGAAAUCACAUAGUAGCAGUAGAAGGUGUUAGAAUGAAAAAGCACUUAUUUAAAACACAAAUAUUCGUGAUGGUAGCAGCAGUGUAUAACAGAACUGACCAGGGAAAUUGGUUUUUGAAUAAUUGUUUUUAUUGUAUUUCUCUUCACUGGUAGUAAUAAAUAUCUCUCUGGAAGAAACGUACAAGCAGUCCUGGAUGUUGAACAUUUCCAUAAAUUAGCAGUGUCCCCAUGGCAGGGCUCAGUUUUUCUGCACCCCUCCAUUGCAGUGAAGCAGUUUAGUGCUGGAUAAUAGACAGUUAACUGGAACUCCAGGUUACGCCUCAUUCUGCUACCUUGCACCAUGCUGCCAUCUUUUGAAUAAAAGUCCCACUUCCCGCUCUGAAAUGGAAAUUGGCAUUUCUAAAAAUCUCUGUAGAUCAAAGUUGUAUAAUUUCAGAGAUGGCGAUUGAUAUGAUCAUGGUUUCAUACCCACUCCAAGCAUGUUCUCCACAUUCAUUUAAUAGCAUUUGUUCAACAGUUAUUUUAGCUUCUCCUCUUGCCAGCCUUUUAUGCUUGGCAAAGACAAUGAAAAUACAGUAAAGAAGAAAGGCACAUUCUCAUAGUCUGUAUAUGAGACCAGAUCAAUAUCAAUCCAAUAAUCACACGCAUAAAUGUAGAAUUUUAUGAAGACAUCUAUAGAAUAAAGAAAAAUAAUGCUAGGAGAACAUCGAAUAGGUGAGCCUGAACUAGUCUAAGGCAAUAAGAAAGUCUCUUCUAAGAAAGUCACUUUUAGGCUAAGAAGUAAUAGAUAGUAGGUAUUAUCAAUCAAGAAGCAGGAGAAAGUGCGUCCCAAACAGAUGAGAUUCAGAAUUCAGUAUGAUGCAUUUUUAAAGCUGAUGGUAUCCCAUUGUGGGUGGAAAACAGGAAUGUGCUUUUUGACUAGAGGUUGAAGAAUUAGGGUCUUGAGGACUUGUUUAAGUUUUGGGUAAAAGUGACAGGAAUCCAUUCAGGUAUUUCAAAGAGUAGAAGUAGAUGUGUUGAGGUGAAAUGUGAUCACCUUUGUGAUCGGAUGCAGGAACCAUUACAAUUUGCUCUCUUGUUAUAUUAGGUAUGAGUGGUCUUUCAAAUGACAAGGAGAAAGAAUUGUUGAGUAGUAGAGUUUACUGAUUCAGAGCUAGAAAUACAGAUCAGGAUUAUAGACAUAUAUUUGAUAGUUAUUUGCAUAGACUUCUGGUUGAACUGAAGCCCUAGGAACAGAAGUAAUUACUUAAGUGAUAAUAUUGGUGUGGCUACACAUGAUAUCAUCCUUUUCUUUUUCUUUCUCUUCUUUUCUUUUCUCUCUUUUUUUUUUUUUUUUUUGAGACAAGAGUCUUACUCUGUUGCCCAGGCUGGAGUGCAGUGGCAUGAUCUCGGCUCACUGCAAUCUCUGCCUUCUGGGUUCAAGCCAUUCUCCAGCCUCAGCCUCCCAAGAAGCUGGGAAGACAGGCACACACCACUGAAUCUGGCUAUUUUGUGUGUAUGUGUAUUUUUAGUAAACAUGGGGUUUUUCCAUUGUGGCCAGGCUGAUCUUGAACUGCUGACCUCAGGUUAUCUUCCCACUUUGGCAACCCAAAGUGCUGGGAUUACAGGCAUGAGCCACCAUGCCUCGCCAGUCUGGCCCUUUUCUAACAUAGUGAACAGAGCAGGUUUGGGGAUAGCAUUUGAAAAUCUCAGCUUUUGACAAACAGGUUUACAUGUCUGGGGACACAGUCAUUGAUGUAGCCAAUAAAUUGGGCUAGAAAGGUAAAGUAGGGAAUAUAUUAGUCUCUAGGGCUGCUGUAGCAAAUUACCAGAGGUUAGGUGGCUGAAGACAACAAAAUGUGUUCUUUCACUGUUUUGGAAGCUAGGAAUAUGAAAUCAAGGUGUCAUCAGGAUUGGCUCCUUCUGUAGGUUCUGGGGGAGAGGUUGUUCUAUAUUAUUCUUCUUGCUUCUAAUAAUUACUGACUAUCAUUGAUGUUCCUUGAUCUGUAGACACAUCAAUCUUUACUAUCAUCUUCACAUUGCCACAUUGCCUUUUUCUCUACAGCUGUGUGUCCUCUUCUUUUAAAGACACAAGUCAUUAGAUUUAGAGACCACCCUACAACCAGGAUGAUUUUGUUUUGAGAUUCUUAAUUAAAUCUGCAAAAAUUUUAUUUCCAGAUGAAGCAGAAUUUUCCUGACCUCUUUGUAGGACUCACAACAGGGGUGCUUCAUUUACCUAGCCCACCACUACAUGUCUGUAGUCCCAGCUACUCAGGAUACUCAGGGGUGGGAUCCCUUGAGCAAAGGAAUUCAAGUGCAGGCUAGGUAACAUGGCAAGACUUCCUCUUUUAAAUGGAAGUGCAUUGGAAAUUUCAAUGGGCUGUACAAAUGCAUAUUGUCAUUCUUCCAAUCAAAGUUGAUAGCAAUAAGGAGAAUAUAUAUAGAGAUAAAAUAUUUUAGCAUGUAGUAGUAUUGGCAGCAGUAUUUAUACUUGGGUCCACAUGUGACAUAGAAGUGCUUUCCUGUUUGUACUGUAUUGGUUACCGAUAGACCUUCUUUUUACAUCAUUUUAGAAGGACGAAUCUAUGUAAAUUUGAUAAGAAUAUAGAUAUAUUUUAAGGUGACUAUAGUUUCGUAAGUACAGUUGUUGGAACCUGGCUGAAAAUGUACUUGAUAUUUUUCUUGUCAAGUGUCCUUUUGUCAUCACAGUAUGGUGACACAAAUGAGAAUGAUUCAUAUAGGAAAUAAGAACUAGGAAACAGAAUUCAAGUUGCUGGUGGCAUCUUCUGAAGAAGUGACCUAGGAAGAAAGGGACUAAAUAUAUGCCAUGACUAAAUAGCAUCCACAGGAACUAAGAAAUAGAAUUCAAGCUGUUGAUGAGGUCUUUUGAAGAAGUAGCCUACAGGAAAAAGUGAUUAAAUAUAUUGCAAAUAUUUUCAGAGUAAUUAUAAGGGAAAGAAAAGUGAAAUUCUGUAUUUACCAUUGUAUAUGAAGACAUUCAUGAUUGCAUCGAUUAAAAAAUAAAAUAUAUGAAUAUUUAAAAUUAUAAUAAUAUACCUAAGGAAAUAAUAUUCAUAUUUUUAUAGUAAUUAAAACCAGGAAGUAAUGUAUUUUCACUUUAUCUGUUAAUCAAUCUACUUAUUAAGACAGUAAUUAUAGGUACUAUAUGAAUUCUGGUUAAAUGAGAAAGGGAAGACCACAAAAUGACAAAUUCUCUGCCACACAGAAUGUUAUUGCUCAUGACAAGAGGUUAGAUAGUAAAAAAAAUUGUGCUAAGGUUGUACAAUUUUGGAUAUAUAUAUAUAUUUUUAUUGUAUUUUGGGUUCUGGGGUGCAUGCAUAGAUCAUGCAGGGUUGUUGCAUUGGUGCAUACAUAACCAGGUGGUUUGCUGCCUCCAUUCCUCCUUCAUCUAUAUCUGGCAUUUCUCCUUAGGUUAUCCCUCCUUUCCUUCCCCACCCCACAUUGUCCCUCCCCUAACCCCUCAACUGACCCCAGUGUGUGAUGCUCCUCUCCAUGAGUCCACAUGUUCUCAUUGUUCAACACCGGCCUAUGAGUGUGAACAUAUGGUUUAGUUUUCUGUUCUUAUGUCAGUUUGCUGAGAAUGAUGGUUUCCAGAUUCAUCCAUGUCCCUACAAAGGAUACAAACUCAUCAUUUUUUAUGGAUGUAUAGUAUUCCAUGGUGUGUAUGUUCCUCAUUUUCUUUGUCCAGUCUAUCACUGAUCGGCAUUUGGGUUGGUUCCAAGUCCUUGCUAUUGUACACAGUGCUGCAAUGAACAUAUGUGUGCAUGUGUCUUUAUAAUAGAACAAUUUGUAGUCCUUUGGGUAUAUACCCAGUAGUGGGAUUGCUGGGUCAAAUAGAAUUUCUAUUUCAAGAUCCUUGAGGAAUCGCCACACUGUCUUCCACAAUGGUUGCACUAAUUUACAACCUAUUGUACACAGCGCUGCAAUGAACAUAUGUGUGCAUGUGUCUUUAUAAUAGAACAAUUUGUAGUCCUUUGGGUAUAUACCCAGUAGUGGGAUUGCUGGGUCAAAUAGAAUUUCUAUUUCUAGAUCCUUGAGGAAUCGCCACACUGUCUUCUACAAUGGUUGCACUAAUUUACACUCCCACCAACAAUGUGUGUUCCUAUUUCUCCACAUCCUCUCAGCAUCUGUUGUCUCCAGAUUUUUUAAUGAUCACCAUUGUAAAUGGUGUGAGAUGAAACCUCAAUGUGGUUUUGAUUUGCAUUUCUCUAAUGACCAGAGAUGAUGAGCAUUUCUUCAUAUGUUGUUUGGCCUCAUAUAUGUCUUCUUUUGAGACAUGUCUGUUCAUAUCCUUUACCCACAUUUGAAUGGGUUUGUUUGUUUCUUGUAUAUCUGUUUUAGUUCUUUGUUAAUUCUGGAUAUUAGCUUUUUGUCAGAUGGGUAGAUUGUAAAUAUUCUUGCCCAUUUUGUUGGUUGCUGGUUUACUCUAAUGACUGUUUCAUUUGCUGUACAGAAGCUCUGAAGUUUAAUUAGAUCCCAUUUGUCUAUCUUUGCUUUUGUUGCCCUUGCUUUUGGUGUUUUAGUCAUGAAGACCUUGCCUAUACCUAUGUCCUGGAUGGUUUUGCCUAGAUUUUCUAAUUAGAGUUUUUAUGGUGUUAGGUUUGAUGUUUAAGUCUUUAAUUCAUCUGGAGUUAGUUUUAGUGUAAGGUGUCAGGAGGGGGUCCAGUUUCUGCUUUCUGCACAUGGCUAACCAGUUUGCCCAACACCAUUUAUUAAACAUGGAGUUGUUUCCCCAUUGCUUGUUUUUGUUAGGUUUGUCAAAGAUUAGAAAAUUAUAGAUUUGUGGUGUUGCUUCUGAGACCUCCAUUCUGUUCCACUGGUCUAUGUCUCUGUUUUGGUACCAGUACCAUGCUGUUUUGAUUAUUGUAGCCUCGUAGUACCGUUUGAAGUCUGGCAGCGUGAUGCCUCUGGCUUUGUUCUUUUUGCUUAGGAUUGUCUUGGCCAUUCAGGCUGUCUUGUCCACAUGAAAUUUAAGGUGGUUUUUUCCCAGUUCCAUGAAGAAGGUCAUUCGUAGCUUGAUGGGGAUAGCACUGAAUCUAUAAAUUAUAUUGGGCAGUAUGGCCAUUUUCACAAUAUUAAUUCUUCCUAACCAUGAGCAUGGAAUGUUUUUCCACCUGUUUGUGUCCUUUCUUAUUUUGUUGAGCAGUGGUUCAUAGUUCUCCUUGAAGAGGUCCUUUACAUCCUUUGUUAGUUUUAUUCCUAGGUAUUUUAUUCUCUUUGUAGCAAUUGUGAAUGGCAGUUUGCUCUUGAUUUGGCUCUCUCUUUGUCUAUUCUUGGUAUUUAGAAAUGCUUGUGAUUUCUGCACACUGAUUUUGUAUCCUGAGACAUUACUGAUGUUGCUUAUCGGUUUCAGGAGAUUUUGGGCUGAGAUGAUGGGGUCUUCUAAAUAUACAAUCAUGUUGUCUGCAAAUAGAGACAAUUUGACUUCCUCUUUUCCUAAUUGAAUACCCUUUAUUUCUUUUUCUUGCCUGAUUGCUCUGACUAGAACUUCCAAUACUAUAUUGAAUGUGAGUGGUAAGAGAGGACAUCCUUGUCUAGUGCCUGAUUUCAAAGGGAAUGCUUCCAGUUUUUGCCCAUUCAGUAUGAUAUUGGCUGCAGGUUUGUUAUAAAUAGCUUUUAUUGUUUUAUGAUACAUUCCAUUGAUACCUAGUUUAUUGAUAGUUUUUAGCAUGAAGGGCUGUAGAAUUUUGUUGAAGGCCUUCUAUGCAUCUAUUGAGAUAAUCAUGUGGUUGGUGUCUUUGGUUCUGUUUAUGUGAUGGAUUACAUUUAUGGAAUUGGGUAUGUUGAACCAGCCUUACAUUCCCAGGAUUAAGCCUACUUGAUUGUGAUAAAUAAACUUUUUGAUGUGCUGUGCAAUUGGUUUUCCAGUAUUUUACUGAAUAUUUUUGCAUCUAUAUUCAUCAUGGAAAUUGGCCUGAAGUUUUCUUUUUUAAUUGCGUCUCUGCCUGAUUUUGUUAUCCAGAUGAUGUUGGUCCAUAAAAUGAGUUAAGAGAGGAUUCCCUCUUUUUGUAUUGUUUAGAAUCGUUUCAGAAGGAAUGGAACCAGCUCCUCUUUGUACAUCUGGUAGAAUUCAGCUGUGGACCUGUCUGGACCUGGACUUUUUUGUUGGUAGGCUAUCGAUUGCUGCCUCAACUUCAGCCCUUGUUAUUGGUCUAUUCAAGGUUUCAACUUCUUCCUGGUUUAGUCUUUGUAGAGUGCAAGUGUCCAGGAAUUUAUCCAUUUCUUCCAGAUUUACAGGUUUGUGUGCAUAGAGUUGUUUGUAGUAAUCUCUGAUGGUAGUUUGUAUUUCUGUGGAAUCAGUGGUGAUAUCCCCUUUAUCAUUUUUUAUUGUAUCUAUUUGAUUCUUCUCUCUUUUUUAUUAGUCAAACUAGUGGUCUAUGUAUUUUAUUGAUCUUUCCAAAAACAGCUCAUGGAUUUAUUGAUUUUUUUGUAAGGUUGUUUGUGUCUCUAUCACCUUCAGUUCUGCUCUGAUCUGAGUUAUUUCUUGUCUUCUGCUAGCUUUUGCAUUUUUUCAAUCCUACUACUGUAGCUCUUUCAAUUUUGAUGAUAGGGUGUCUAUUUUAGAUCAUUCCUUUUUUCUCAUGUGGGCAUUUAUUGCUAUAAAUUUCCCUCUUGACACUGCUUUAAGGGUGUCCCAGAGAUUCUGGUAAGUUGUGUCUUCAUUCUGAUUGGUUUCGAAGAACAUAUUUAUUUCUGCCUUCAUUCCAUUGUUUAUCUAGUCGACACUCAGAAGCAAGUUGUUCAGUUUCCAAGUAGUUGUGUGGAUUUGAGUGAGUUUCUUGAUCCUGAGUCCUAAUUUGAUUGUGCUGUGGUCUGAUAGACUGUUUGUUGAGGAGUGAUUUGCUUCCAAUUAUGUGGUCAAUUUUAAAGUGGGAUGUGGUGCUGAGAAGAAUGUAUAUUCUGUGAAUUUAGGGUGGAGCAUUCUGUAUAUGUUUAUUAGGCCUGCUUGGUCCAGGUCUGCAUUCAAGUCUUAAUGUCCUUGUUAAUUUUCUGUCUCAUUGAUCUGUCUAAUAUUAACAGUGGAGUAUUGAAGUCUCCCACUAUUAUUGUGUGGGAGUCUAAAUCUCCUUUUAGGAUGUUAAGAACUUACUAUAUGUAUCUGGGUGCUCCUGUGUUGGAGGCAUAUAUGUAGGGUAGUUAGCUCUUCUUGUUAAAAUGAUCCUUGUAUCAUUAUGUAGUGCCCUUCUUUGUCUCUUUUGAUCUUUGUUGGUUUGAUGUCUGUUUUAUCAAAGAGUAGGAUUGUAAUUCCUGCUUUUUUUUGUUCUCCAUUUGCUUGGUAAAUCUUCUUUCAUCCCUUUAUUUUGAGUCUAUAUGUGUCUUUGCAUGUGAGGUGUGUUUCCUGAAUACAGCAACCGAUGGGUCUUGACUUUUUAUCCAGUUUGCCAGUCUGUGUCUUUUGAUUGAGGCAUUCAGACCAUUUACAUUCAAUGUUAAUAUUGUUAUGUGUGCAUUUGAUCCUGCCAUUUUGUUACUGGCUGGUUUUCUUGCCCAUUAGCUGACUUCGUUUCUUCAUUGCAUUUUUGGUCUUUGCCAUUUGGUACGCUUUUGUGGUGGCUGUUUCUUGUUCCUUUCCGUGUUUAGUGUUUCUUUCAGGAGCUAGUCUAAGGCAGGUCUGGUAGUGACAAAAUCUCUCAGUAAUUGCUUGUCAAUAAAGCAUUUUAUUUCUUCUUCCCUUAUAAAGCUUAGUUUGGCUGCAUAAGAGAUUCUGGAUUGAAAGUUCUUUUCUUUAAUGAUGUUGAAUAUUGGCCCCCAAUAGAGCAUAGAUUAGGUCUUUUUAUAUAAUCCCAUAUUUCUUGGAGGCUUUGUCCAUUUCUUUUUGCUCUUUUUUCUCUUGUCUUGCCUUCUCUUUUCAUUUCAUUGAGUUGACCUUCAAUCUCUGACAUCCUUUUUUCUGCUUGAUCGAUUUGGCUAUUAAAACUUGUGUUUGCUUCACGUAGUUCUCAUACUGUGUCUUUCAGCUCCAUCAAGUCAUUUAUGUUCUUCUCUAAACUGGUUAUUCUAGUUAGCAUUUUGUCUAAUGUUUUUUCAAGGUUUCUAGUUUCUUUGCAUUGAGUUAGAACAUGUUCUUUUAGCUCAGAAAAGUUUGUUAUUACCCACCAUGUGAAGCCUGUUUCUGUUAGUUCAUUGAACUUUUUCUCUGUCAUGUUGUGUUUCUGUGUUGGUGAGGAGUUGCGAUUUUUUGAAGGAAAAGAGGCAUUCUCAUCUUUGAUGACUUCAUCUUUUCUGUGCUGUUUUUUUUCCCCAUCUUCAUGGAUUUAUCCAGCUCUGAUCUCAGGGAGCUGCCUGAUGAGGUCACUUGUCUGCCUGUUGAGGAGCUACUGAGUUUCCAGGGACUCCUUCAGGUUGCUAGGUAGGCUUCCUGUGUCUUUUUUGUUUACACUGGGAGAUUAGGCCCGCCUCUUUAAUGGUGGGUGCCCCUCAUACCACUGACCUGGAGGCGCUGCUGGGCUGUCAAGGACGCCGUCCCAUUGCUACUUAGGCUUCCUGUGUUUUUUGUUAAAACAUGAAGCCUAGUCCCACCUCUUUAAUGGUGGGUUGCCCCUUUCCUCCACGGAGCUGGAUCAUUCAAGGUUCAGCUCAGACUGAAGCACUGACUGUGAUACCCCCCAGAGUUAGUGCUUCAGCCUGCUGGGGUUUGUUGGGGAGGGGAGGGACAUGCCCAGCCUCACCCUGUGUCUUUGCACUUUCAGCUUCCUCUCUCUCAGAGGAGGGGGAGGGGGCAAUAGCUUGGUCUGCAGGCUCUCCCCUGCUGGCUUAUAGGCUCAUGGGUUUGCUUAGAUCUGUGUGACAAUCCAGGGCACCAUCCUGGAUUAUUAUUGAACUCUACUCUUGUAAUUCCUAGUGCUUGACUGGCAAAGAUCCCCUGUUCUGUGAAUUGCUGAGGCUUUGGGGGAAGCACCAUUUCUGAACUGGGAUGCUGGAGGGGAGCCCCCAGCUCACCGGUCAGAUGCACUUUCUGGGUGAAGCAGCACCCCUCCCUGCCUAGGUCUGCCCUGUCUUGGUUUUGCUCACCAUCUGACCAGACCUGUUGCAAUGAACCUGGUACCUCAGUUGGAGCUAGGAGAUCUCCUUGGAUGUUUUCUAAUUUUUUAAAAAUAGAUGCCAGGUUGCUUGGCUUUUAUGUUUUUGAAUAAAAUAAGAAAUGUCUGUUUGAAAAUAGAUCUUGAGAAAUUAAUUUAACCAGGACAAUACAUUUUCUUUCUUUCUUCCGCACUCUCCCACUUCUUUCGAAUUUUCUUUGUUACACUCAACUCCAUAAUCUUUUUCUUCUCUCAGGAACUACCUUACCUUCUUUUAAUAUAAAAAACUGAUGCCAACAGAUUGAUAUUAUUUCAACUUUCUGCCACCAAAUUGACACCUAAUCACACCUUUGCCCAUCUCUUCUUCCUACUAGAUAAAGAAGUUAUGUACCUGCAGUCUCAGAAACCCAACCCAAAUAUACUCAGAGUAGAAUGUAUUGGCUUAUUUUAUCUGAACACCUGAAAAUUGAGCUGAAUUUCAGCACAGGCCUAUCCAACAAUAUCAUCAGAGCUCUAUCUCCUACCUUGGUUCUCCUUGUCAGCCUCAUUGUCACACAGAUUCCCUCAGUUAUAUUUAUGUAUAUGUGCUAUGUUCUUUUUUUUUAAUCAUAUUCUCAAAUGAGAAGUUAAUUCUUCCAGAGUCCAAGGACUACCAAUUUACAGCUGGGAACUAUGCACAAAUAUAAGUAGAUAGGCUGAUAUUGAAUAAAUUAAGAAUUUUUACAGAUAUCUAGGUGAGGAUACUGCUUCUCAUUCAAUAGUAAAUGAAUGCCGUACCUUUAAAUCAUGUAAUAAAUUCUAGAAAACUGGCCAGGUGGCAUGGUGACUCAUGCCUGUAAUCCCAGCACUUUGGGAGGCCAGGGUGGGUGGAUCAUGAUGUCAGGGGUUCAAGACCAGCCUGGCCAACAUGGUGAAACUCCGUCUCUACUGAAAAUACAAAAAUUAGCUGGGCAUGAUGGCACAUACCUGUGAUCCUAGUUACUCAGGAGGCUAAGGGAAAAGUACUGGGACCCUGAAGGUGGAGGUUGCAGUGGGCUGAGAUCACUCCACUGCACUACUGCCUGGGCUACAGAUCGCUCCACUGCAAACAGCCAAGGCUAUUUUUGAGACACUGUCUCAAAAAAUAAAAUAAAAAAGUAAAUUAAAACAAUAAAAAAAUUAAAAGUAAACUCUAGAAAACCAAAAACACAGAACAUUUUUCAUAAACCCUGGGGCAAAAUGUCAUGGUUUUCCUGAUGUGUUAAAAUGGGCUUCUUGAUUUAUCAAGUUUAGAAAUUCAUGAAUACCACUUCUUUUCUUUUUUCCCACUCUUCUUUCCUAUUUGCUCCCUUCCCUUAUUGAUGUGUAUUUAUCUAAUGUAUUGCUUUUAAUAGUCAAGUAAUAUUUUAUAUGAUGAAUUAUUAUAUAUCCUUUUGCGAUGCUAUCUUUCUGUGUAAUCUCAAUUUAUUUUUAUUGCCAUAAAAAUACUGAAAUGAAUUUCUUUAUAUAUAAAUCCUGAUUACUUGUUUCUAUAGGUUAGAUUUACCAAAUGAAGUCUCUUGGAAAUACUGUUAGAGCAAGGCAACAUUAUCUCAAAAACACCCUUUUGUAGCUUCAAUACCCAGUCUUACUAAAGUUAUGAAACUUCUUCUCACCAAAAUACUAUUUCUUAAACUCCAAAGAAUUUUAUUUCCAUGAUUAUUUAGAAAGUGUUUUUCAGAGAUGAUGGAAUGGAUUCAUUACAGUGGUUUAGCAAAAAUUUUAAAGUGGUUUUUUGCUCAUUGUUGAGUAAGAGACAGUAGCUCUCUUUCUUUUGAUGUUCUGCUGCUGCUUCUUGUCAGUUUCUCACUUUGAACACAUUUUUUUAAAUGAGUGCUUUUAAUUAUUUUUUAUAAUUUAGUGUUUUUCUCAGAAUUAAUAGUUUAAAGAAAUGAUCAUUGUAUUAUUUACCCAUUUCAUGUGAGAUUGUCUUGUACUCUUACAUCAGAAAAUGUUGCUCUCUCAUAGAAUUUUCAGAGUACUAUUUGGCCUCUUAUUUCCAUGCUAAUUCCUGAUGCAUUAUUCAUCUGUUUUGAAGACUUUGUUUUUCUCUCACACUAUUAAUGACAAUCAUCAUUUGGAAUGUUUCAUGUGCUUUAUCUCAUUUUAUCCUCUCACAACAGUCAUCUGAAGCAUGUAGUCUUACAGUUCCUAUUUUAAAUAUAUAGGGAUUAACAUAUUGAAAUAAUUCACUCAGGGUCAGGGUUAGUAAAUUGCGGAGACUGAAGUGAACUCAGAAAAUAUAGAUUAGUAUUUACACAGUUGAUUUUUAAGAUUUACUUCUUGGAAAAAUGUUGACUUCUAGUAGGUACCUAGAAAUUGGUAUUAGUGACUGAGAUUUGAGAAAGUCAUAUACUUUUUGCUAUGGAGAAGAGCAACAGGUACUUCUGAACUCAUGCUAGCAAUCCAGGUUCCAUUAGUGAAUUGGUGUUGAGAUACAUUUUGGGGGAGAUAAUUUAUUAGGUUUCAAUAUUUAAUAGUUUGUUAAAUAUAUAGUCACUGGCCCCUCUUUUAGUGCUACCAUAAAUAGAACUUUGUAUUACUCUGGAUUGACAGCUACCAAUAGAUCGCAUUUAUACUUUUAAGAGGGUACCUACAGUUGUAUAAACCCAAGAGAAAUCACAGAAGGGUGAGCAGUUGCCACAAGAACUCUCCCCUAGAAGGAAGGUCAGUAGACAUUUUCUGUUUUCCAGUAUUUUGGUCCUGAAUGAUCUGGAUUGCCUUACACUGAUCCUUGUAAACAGAUGCCUUUGCAUGUAGAUUAAGAAUUUAUUUCUGUUUAUUGAAAAUCCCAACCCCUUUGGGCUCUGUUCUAAUCCUUGAUUUCCAAACUGGAAGCUUCUCUUGACAUUUCAGCUUUAGUCAGAUUGUCCUAUGUGACCUUACAGGUGCUAUAUGGUCAAUCAUUUCUAUUGACUACCAACGAACUAGUUCUAGGAGAUCAUUAUGGGAAGAUUCAGGAUCUGAAAUGUUGGGUGACCUCAGUCUCUUAUUGUUUUUUUUUUUUUUUUUUUUUUUUUUGAGACAGAGUUUCACUCUUGUUACCCAGGCUGGAGUGCAAUGGCGCGAUCUCGGCUCACCACAACCUCCUCCUCCUGGGUUCAGGCAAUUCUCCUUCCUCAGCCUCCUGAGUAGCUAUGAUUACAGGCACGCGCCACCAUGCCCAGCUAAUUUUUUGUAUUUUUAGUAGAGACGGGGUUUCACCAUGUUGACCAGGAUGGUCUCGAUCUCUUGACCCUGUGAUCCACCCGCCUCAGCCUCCCAAAGUGCUGGGAUUACAGGCUUGAGCCACUGCGCCUGGCCCCUCAGUCUCUUAUUUUAUCCUUAGGGAUAUAAUUACUCCAACAAAGUCACAUUGUACCAAUACCUGGCCACCAUUUGGGAUCAUGCCAAUCCCCAAUGGUGGUGGAAGCAGAAGAGGGCAAAAGAAAAACGUGUAUAUUUAUUUUUAGAGUUCUAUGAUGUCAGAUAUCUCUAUGGUUCACAGGCUUCACAAGUUGCUGAAAAUUUAAAAGAUAAUAACCUUGCAUGUGUUUGGUAGAUAAAAGAGAGUUAACAUCACCUACCUUAUAUACAUUUUGUAAAUAUAUAAUGGCUCACAAAUAGUUGCUACUAUUUGUUGAGUGUUUAUUAUAUUGCAGAUUCUGUGGUAAUAAUUUAAAAGGUUGUAUUUCAUUUCACACUCAGGAAAACUCUGUGACGUAAAUUUGGUCAUUACGAUCAUCUCAAAGAUGAGAAAACUAAAGUUCAGAAAAGCUAAAAAGGCAUUCCUAAGUUCUCAUGGCUGGUAAAGGGUAGAACAAGAAUUUGAUUGACUUCAAUACUUUUAACCAUGAAACUUACUCAACAGAAAGAUAUACUACAAUAAAGUAAUUGUGUUUUUCGCCAUUACUUUCAAUGGCAAAAAUCGCAAUCGCUUUUACACAAACCUACAAAUAGUAUGUAGGUCAUGCCAAAAAGUACAUUCCAUUAUCAGAUUCUACCAAAUAAAUAGCAUUAAGAAAAAACAGUGAAGAAAUUAGAUUCUCCCAAACUAGCUGUCCAUGUCUUGGUUGUCCAGCAUCCUUUACCUAGUCAUAGGAAAGAAUGUCAAAUAAAAAUUAAAAACCCAUUUGUUAUUUGUCUAAUGAAAGUGUAUCCAGGAGGCUGGAUGCAGUGACUCAUGCCUGUAAUCCCAGCACUUUGGGAGGCUGAGGCAGGUGGAUCACAAGGUCAGGAGAUCAAGACCAUCCUGGCUAACACGGUGAAACCCUGUCUCUACUAUAAAUAGAAAAAAACAAAAAUUAGCUGAGAGUGGUAGCAUGUGCUUGUAGUCCCAGCUACGUGGGAGGCUGAGGCAGGAGAAUUGCUUGAAUCCAGAAGAUGGAGGUUGCAGUGAGCCGAGAUCGCACCACUGUACUCCAGCCUGGGUGACAGAGCGAGACUUCAUCUCAAAACAACAACAACAACACACACAUACACACACACACACACACACACAAAAGUGUAUCCAGGAAACAAGCUACAGUAAACUGAUAUUAUUUAACAUAAACAAUAACAGGAGAUUUAGUUGUUUGAAAAGAAAUUCUUAAGAGUGAGAAUUUAUGUGAAAAUCAAGUGAGAUCCCAAGAAAGCCAAGAAAUAUAAAUGAAAGUGUCAUGUUCUGGGAAAAAAAAUCCAUUAUUCAAAGACGGUCUUUGUUUUCUGAUGAUGUCUUAAGUCUUUACAUCUUGGAGAUUAUCUAGGGAAUCCUCUUGGCAUAACCAAGUACAGAGUUGUCAUUUCUGAAUGUGUUACUCAAUUUUCUAAAUUGCAAUACAUUCACUUUUCCCAAAGACUGAGAGAAAAUGAAAUAAAGAGCAUUGUGAACAAAACAAUCUCCAGCAGUUUCCAAUGACCCCUUUGGGCAAGAGGUCUCUGUAAAAGAAGGAAAAGGGUAGUUUCUUUAUUCCCAUCUUGUAUUAAUACUGCCGUGGAGAGGCACAGUUAAGAAUACCCAGUAACGCAAUAAUUAAAUACUCAAGCCAAAUACAUCAGACUUUAUUUCCACUGAAGAGAAUGUACACUGGUACAUGGAGUGGGAAAGGUGUUUUGGAGGCAAAUGUUCAAAUCAGCAGGAAUGUUACACCUCUUCUAAUUCACAGUUUAUAGAGAUGACCUCUCCAUAAUUGUCUCCAGUUGAAUUCUCUUAUUCACUGCCUCCUUUUGAUUCUGAUCAUGAGUUUGAGAGAUGACAUCUAUAUUGUGUUAUGAGACACAAUAAAUCUAUUUACCCACCCUCCAUGCCUCUUACAAUGAAAAUGGUAAUAGCAUCAAUUAUGGCAUUUUAGUCUCCUCUGGCCAGUCUAUAUUAAAAUGUGUUCUCAUCUUCCACUCAUAUCACACUACCUAUAUUUUCAUUGUUUACUCCUCCAAUAUUGGAGAACAUGACACGUGUUCUUUUGUGACUACUUAUUAGUCAUAAUGAACCUGAUAAAGUCAUUGAAAUCAUCACAUUUCUUCUCCCAUAUCACUUAAGCAUAUUUACUUCUAUUACUAGAAAAACUGUCUUCCUAACUUUGUUGCUGUCAGGCAACUCUCCGCUGAAGCUGUCAAGCUCUUUUAACAUAAUAGUUCUUUUCUGCUGUUAUCACCUCACACAAGACAGGUAAUCCUUCACCUUAUAUUUCUUUCUGUAUUCAGUAAUAGUCAGGGUGUUUAGAUGCAUUUUUAAAACAAAAGGCCAAAGGGAGCAAUCUGAAGGAAUCUAAACAAAAAGGAACUAUAGAAUAUAAAAAUAUUUCAAUGUCACUCAGAUGAAAAGGACCCAAUAUCAUCAUUGAGCAGUUAACAGGUUGUUACUAAGUAUUUGUGGUGUGCAGAGCCUCAUACCAUGUCAUAUGCAAUCCUGUGGUGAAUGUACUUAUUUAUGUAUCCUCCUGAACUACUCAUUCCAAGAGCCUUGCUACUCAUAGUGGGAUCUGCAUGUUGGGCCAGUCUGUGAGGAAAUAGUUAUAGAAAUUGAGAGUUAGCAUUGUAAAACCUUUAUAUAAACAGGAUAACUUUAUGACCAUUGAAACUGAAAAAUAUUAAUUUUUUUCUUUUCAGACCUGAAAAACAUAAAUUUUUCUUUUCAAACCCUAAAUGUAGCAUUUGAAAAAAAAAACUUAAAAGCUUAUAUUUUAUACUGAUUUUGUGCCUUUUUUCUAGUGAUUUAUAUAUUUUUAUUAACUAUUGGUCUAAGACAGAAUGGGAGGAAACUGUUCUCACCACAGAUAAUUCAGAGGCACUGCCAUGAGUAUGGCAUAUUUCUUGACCAGCUCUGUAUUUCCUCAUUGCAUCCUGAAAUAUAAUAAAAUCUGCUUUGGGCAAACUAUCUAUUCAUAGUUGAUAUAUUCCAAGUGUUAUAUACAUUUUACUAUAUAUAUAUUAGUACUAUAUAUUCCAAGACCAAAAGCAAGCAAGAUGACUAGAAAACCAUGUUCCAUCAGUGUUAUUUAUGUCUUGUAAUUUCAAUAUCUUCACCUCUGCUAGUUAAAUGAGCUCUGCUAAUCAACAGUGUGGGCACCACCUGGUUAGAAAUGCAGAAUCUCAGGCCUACAGAAUCAGAAGCAGCAUUUUAACAAGAUCCCCAGGUGGUUUUUAUGCCCAUGAAGUUUGAGGUACAUUGGCUCAGACCAAUGUGGAGGCUCCUAAAAUGUCAAAAACUUCAUAGCUUCUAUGAAUGUCACUGACCGUAGAAACUUCAGUGCAACAUGAAGCACAUUUCAUUAGUCAGGGCUUCAGCUCAUAAAAAAUAAUGCCAAUCUACAACUAAAUCCCUGAGUUUACUUGAUUUUGAUUCUAAACUUAUUCUCAGCAUUCUUUUGCUACUUACAUGCCAGAACUCCUUGAACAGUAUAAGAGACCAUAGUGCCUGUCUAUAAUUCAGACUGGAAAAGAUUGAAAUGUAAAUCACCCUGGGCUCUUUUAAUUUAAUAUAGUCAAAUUCAGUUAUCCUGUAUUAACCCCAAUCUAAGGUACACAGAGAACCUGGCCAGAAGAUCUCUCUGGUCAAUCUGCCUAUUAUAUAAUGAAGAGAACUAGGACAGGGAUUAAAAACUAGUGGAAAAAGCAUUUGCUUGAGAAGCCCAUAACUUCAAACUUAAGUUGUGAAAUAUUCUAAAUUAAAGAAAGGCCUGCUCUUUAAUUGAUUCAUGGAGGAAGGGUUUUCUCUCCCAAAGGACUAUGAGUUCUUAAGGAAUCUUGCUAAAUAUUUUCCUAUCAACCAUUUCACUGUCUUGUCUGGCAUCAUCUAUUGCUGGUCACCUCUUCCUCUUUGCUAAUUCUAUUCUUUGAAUAUGUUUCAAGUUGUUGCAGUUUUUACAUCUCCCAGAGAGGCAGCACAACAUAAAGGAAAAAUAUAUGGCCAGCUCUAGAUUCAGACAAACUUUGGCUACAUUUUCAGCUUUGCCACUUACAAGCUGUGUAUCCUUGAGCAAUUUGGCUAACCUUUAUGAACCUCUGUGGCUACAUGAAUAUCAAAUUUGGGUUACAAGAAUGGCAGUGAACAAAAUAAGAUGUUUGGAAAUGAUGGUUGUCACCAUUAUGCAAUUACUGUAUAUGUAUAAAAAUAUGCUGUAUAAAUGCGUGUGUAUAAAUUAUAUAUGUGUGCAUGUGUUUGUGUGUGUGUGUGUGUGUGUGUGUGUGUGUGUGUGUAUGCUUUGUUGACCACACUGAGCUUUGAACUCCAUGAAUUCUUUAUCUUUAGAUUUCCAUUGACUUGCCUAGUACUUAAAAUGAUUGCUGAAUGGAAAUAGGAUGAAUGACAUAAUGAAUGAAUGAAUGAAUGAAUGAAAAGAUAGAUAAACAUUAAUUGAACUAAAUUGAUAGAAUGCAAUGCUGUCACCAUUCUUGAUUAGUCCCAAAGGCUAUAUAUCUAUGUAUCUUCCCAUGUCUUAUUAUCCUUAUAGUUGUACUUAACCAUAGUGCAUUUUUCACACUUCCAGGUUUAAUGUCAAUUUCUCCCCUUUGGGAAACUCUUCUAGACUAAGUCAAUGUUGCUUUUUUCU